rnacentral:rRNA from 1 species
CAAUCAAACCGGGAGAUAGCUGGUUCUCCCCGAAAGCUAUUUAGGUAGCGCCUCGUGAAUUCAUCUCCGGGGGUAGAGCACUGUUUCGGCUAGGGGGCCAUCCCGGCUUACCAACCCGAUGCAAACUGCGAAUACCGGAGAAUGUUAUCACGGGAGACACACGGCGGGUGCUAACGUCCGUCGUGAAGAGGGAAACAACCCAGACCGCCAGCUAAGGUCCCAAAGUCAUGGUUAAGUGGGAAACGAUGUGGGAAGGCCCAGACAGCCAGGAUGUUGGCUUAGAAGCAGCCAUCAUUUAAAGAAAGCGUAAUAGCUCACUGGUCGAGUCGGCCUGCGCGGAAGAUGUAACGGGGCUAAACCAUGCACCGAAGCUGCGGCAGCGAACGUAUCACCCAAGACAACUUUACGGAGUUGACGAUUGACGGAGCGAAGCGACGUCAAAGCGUUCAUUAAAGUCGAGUUGGCUUAGGGAUACGUUCGUUGGGUAGGGGAGCGUUCUGUAAGCCUGUGAAGGUGUGUCGUGAGGCAUGCUGGAGGUAUCAGAAGUGCGAAUGCUGACAUAAGUAACGAUAAAGCGGGUGAAAAGCCCGCUCGCCGGAAGACCAAGGGUUCCUGUCCAACGUUAAUCGGGGCAGGGUGAGUCGACCCCUAAGGCGAGGCCGAAAGGCGUAGUCGAUGGGAAACGGGUUAAUAUUCCCGUACUUGGUGUUACUGCGAAGGGGGGACGGAGAAGGCUAUGUUGGCCGGGCGACGGUUGUCCCGGUUUAAGCGUGUAGGUGUGUGUUCCAGGUAAAUCCGGUUCACUUUAACACUGAGGCGUGACGACGAGGCACUACGGUG